rnacentral:tRNA from 4 species
GGGCCUGUAGCUUAGUGGUAGAGCACCCGGUUUGCAUCCGGGAAAUAGGGGUUCGAUUCCCCUCAGGUCCACCA